rnacentral:rRNA from 1 species
GACCCCAUGGAGCUUUAAACCUGACAACACCCAUUUAUCUUUUACCCUAGUAUUCAUUAGGCCCUGUUUGUUUGGUUUUAGGUUGGGGUGACCACGGAGUAUAAAAUAACCUCCAAGAAAAAUGGACCAACAAUCCUUAUCAAAGAACUACAAUUCUAUGAAUUAAUAAAUUAAUUUUUAAUGACCCGAUAUUUAUUCGAUCAACGAACCAAGUUACCCUGGGGAUAACAGCGCAAUCCACUUUAAGAGCCCAUAUCGACAAGUGGGUUUACGACCUCGAUGUUGGAUCAGGGUAUCCUAGUGGUGCAGCAGCUACUAACGGUUCGUUUGUUCAACGAUUAAAACCCU